GCUGGCUCUGGGGCUCAGUGUGGGGACUAGGGCAAGAUUAGCACAGAGCAAGCAAUGUGGGCUUUAAAAAGGGAGGCGAUGUGCCCUGUCAAGUUGCUCAGAACAGCAUUACAACAAAAUUUUUUGAUGUUAUGAAUUUUCCAAAAAAGAAAAUGAAUUAUACAUGUGCUAUGAUUUAAUUGACUUUUUUAUUCAUGAAAUUUAUUAUUGUGUAUUUAAAAAUCUUCUGUUAUGAGUCAGUACAGUGCACUGAACCUCUUUACAAAGCACCACAGCAUUUUGGAAAAUGUAAAUGUGUAGUUCUGUAUAUAAAAUGGAAUAUAUAAUUACAAUGAAAUUAAUGUAAGUAAAUGUACCAUCAGAUGUAGACACUAUAGAACUAAUGUCUUGCACUACAAAAUGUGCUGAGAAGGCACAGAAUGUCACUGAAACACCAUGGAAGGCUUUGCUGAAAAAGAAUAGUGAGAGGGCGAAGAGGCACAGACAUCUAUGGGCCAAGCACUUCACACAGCUAAAAUGAAGUAAUGCUGAACAGUCAUGCAUGUGGAUGAGCUAAGAUCUAACUGGGAAAGCUGGCCAGUGUGUGAGAAAUGUUCAUCUAGGUACAGUGGAUGUGCCACAACUAGGUGGGCAAAGCAAAGGUCACCAAUGCAGAACUGUCAUAUGCCACCCUGAGGACCAAACCAAGGGACAUCUGUCUGUCCAAGCUCUACUGUACUGCAUUCUCCGUUCUACGGCCCUAGAUUGGGAGUGUGACACAUCGCACUGAAUGCUACAUGGCCACAGCAGCAUGCACUGACCUUCACGUGCUGUUCAUGUUACUGACCCCAUGGCCACCAUGUCAAGUUUCCAUAACACAUCACACUGCCUCCUGCAUGGGAACAAUGAGAUGGGCAGCCUUUGCCUUACCUUGAUGUCACUGAUGCCAUACCCAGCACAUCAAGUGUCCCUGCAGCCGUUUUGCUGAUGAGCAAAGCCUUCUCUAAUGGACUCAAACACUGCACAUAGAUCACAUGACUAUGCUGUCUCACAGUUUUUUUCUAGUGCUUUUAUUUAAUUUUAUCUAUAUUUUUAUCUAUCUAUCUAUCUAUCUCUCAUAUAUGAAUUUAUUUCUAUGUGUAUUCAUUCAGUUCUUUUCACUUUUACUGGGCAGUACCCACACUUUAAUCAUGUGUCCUAACAUUCAUGUACUGGGAAACAUGUUGUAGAAUUCAGUCAUGAUGUCAUAGUUCAAUUGAUAUUAAAAUAAUGAUUUAUUUUUGUUUGUGA